UGCGGAGGGGACUAGCGUUGUUCGGAAUACUGGGCGUAAGCGUGCGCAGGCGGUGAUGUAAGACAGAUGUGAAAUCCCCGGGCUCAACCUGGGAACUGCAUUUGUGACUGCAUCGCUAGAGUACGGCAGAGGGGGAUGGAAUUCCGCGUGUAGCAGUGAAAUGCGUAGAGAUGUGGAGGAACACCGAUGGCGAAGGCAGCCCCCUGGGCUAACACUGACGCUCAUGCACGAAAGCGUGGGGAGCAAACAGG
rnacentral:rRNA from 1 species